ensembl:lncRNA
CUAUUUUCACCUGUAAAGCAGGACUGGGGUAGGCGGAGGAGGUUUACCCUGGUGCAGGUGUGCUGCAGCGGUCAGUGGAAGAAUCCGCGAGUUUCUCUGUGAAUUUCACAUUACGUCGUAGUACACUCGGUGCUUGCUUGGAAGUUUAGGGUUUUUUUCGCUGUAAAAGAAGUUUUCUUCCCACGCACAACGGACACUAAUGUUUUUGUCACUUUUUAUGGAAUCAAACUCAAAAUAAGGAGCAAAGAGAUUACCGGUUGUCAGGGUCUUUGGAACCAGCUCGCCAUUGUGGAAACUAAGGCUCACCUAUCGUUUACCUGGCUGUCCAUGAACACACCUCAAGUCUCCUGGAAGUCUGCCUGCCCACCUGUAACUCUUCCAACUCUGUCAUCAUCCAGUCUAGCAAAGCCCUCCUGAGUUUAACUGAUGGAAAAGGGCUCAGUGCCAUAGCCUGCCUGCCCUUUGUUAAUUCCCUGAAUUCUAUAAAUAAACCUUUUGAAACCC